rnacentral:misc_RNA from 1 species
CCUAGAGUUGUAGGCUUUGCCUGCUAUCUCUUACCCAUGUCUUUUGAGUACCUUACGUUUCCUCGGUGGGUUCGCCCACCGAUUGGACAAACUUAAACCCUCUGCAGUUGAAAUCAGCGUCUGAAAAAACUUAAUAGUUA